GGUAACACCGGACCAGUUGUCAUGGUAAUAAGGAGGGUGCAAGAGUAAUCCGGAUUCACUAGGUUAAAAGGAGUUGUAGGGAGGAAGGUAAUUCAAUGGUGAAAGCCUAAAGCUUAAUACUAGAACUUCAAUUGAUACUAUGUGUCUUUAAUAUUGUGGAGUUGAGCAGAAUAUGUCAUGUAGCAAUUAAAUGCUUAAAUAUGACAUAGAAAACCAAUUACGAAGGCAGCUCGCUACACAUAUAUUGACUCUGAGGCACGAAAGCGUGAGGAUCAAACAGGAUUAGAUACCCGUGUAGUC
rnacentral:rRNA from 1 species